UACGUAGGGUGCAAGCGUUACUCGGAGUUACUGGGCGUAAAGCGUGCGCAGGCGGUUUUGUAAGUCUGUCGUGAAAUCCCCGGGCUUAACCUGGGAAUGGCGAUGGAGACUGCAAGGCUAGAGUUUGGCAGAGGGGGGUAGAAUUCCACGUGUAGCAGUGAAAUGCGUAGAGAUGUGGAGGAACACCGAUGGCGAAGGCAGCCCCCUGGGUCAAAACUGACGCUCAUGCACGAAAGCGUGGGGAGCAAACAGG
rnacentral:rRNA from 1 species